CUAUGUAGUAGUAGUUUAAGCUAGUAAUUUGCUGAAGGUCAUUCAUAGGUUUUUUCUAUGGCUUGAUAUUCUUGCAUGGAGGAUUCUUUUCAGGAUAGAAGCUGGGACAUGUAAGAGCUAGGCGAAUGGCGUCUUUGGCAUCAUCAUUGGUUUCUGUUGAUUUGAAAUCGUCAUACAGAAGAGUUACCAUAGACCAUCUGCCAGAGGGUCCGAAUAGAACUCUUGCAGUAGAGGGGAAAGUGUUUUUCUUUGUUAGGAGUGAGAGUGUUGCUCCACUAUACUAUUUGGUUUGUGAUUCAAAUCAAUCUUGCUUUGUUCUCUCAGUUUAUGGUGUACGUACUGAUGUGGUAAGAACUGCUAAAAUUUUAUGUCAUCUUCUAUUGUAUUUUCCCAUGUGGAAAUACAUUUCUCU